rnacentral:rRNA from 1 species
GCUAGCCUCCAAACCACGUAGGAAGCACCGGUCUCGUCUGAUUACCAAAGCUAAGCUACGUCGGGCCGGGUUAGUGCUUGCAUGGGUGACCGGCUGGAAGUGCUCGGUGUUGCUGGCC